rnacentral:rRNA from 1 species
UAGCGAUAGCUGGUUAUUCAAGAAUAGAAUUUUAGUUCUACCUAAUUUUCCCACCCAUUUUACAAAAAAUAACAUCACACCUUUAGAGCAACUCAAAUAGGGUACAGCCUAUUUGAGGCAGGAAACAGCCUUAAACAAUGGGUAAUUAUUAUUUAUGAGCAAUUCAAUAGGCCUAAAAGUAGCCAAUAAUGAAAAUGUGUCUAAACUUCACUGCAUAUUAUUAAUAUCUCACAAAUAUCACCGAACCCUUCCCCCGUAUUGAAUACUUCAAUAUUCUUAUUGAACUUUUUAUGUUAAAACAAGUAACAAGAAACUAACUUUCUCACCAUGCAAGCAUAACUCAGACAGCACCCCGCACUGACAAUUAACGGCUCUUAAUCCUAAAGCAAUAACCCCCCAUUAAAAAAGAUUUCUUCACACCCCCGUCAACCUGACACAAGAGCAUUACAAGAAAGAUUAAAAGAAAAAAAAGGAACUCGGCAAACACUAAUUUCGCCUGUUUAUCAAAAACAUCGCCUCUUGCACAAAAUAAGAGGUCCAGCCUGCCCAGUGAAUAUUUAACGGCCGCGGUAUACUAACCGUGCGAAGGUAGCAUAAUCACUUGUCUUUUAAAUAAAGACCAGUAUGAAUGGCAUCACGAGAAUUAAGCUGUCUCUUUUAUCUAAUCAGUGAAACUAAUCUCCCCGUGAAAAAGCGGGAAUAAUCCUACAAGACGAGAAGAC